GAUGAACGCUGGCUACAGGCUUAACACAUGCAAGUCGAGGGGAAACGACGGGGAAGCUUGCUUCCCCGGGCGUCGACCGGCGCACGGGUGAGUAACGCGUAUCCAACCUGCCUCUGACUGAGGGAUAACCCGUCGAAAGUCGGCCUAAUACCUCAUGGCAUCGUCUGCGGGCAUCCAACGACGAUUAAAGAUUUCAUCGGUCAGAGAUGGGGAUGCGUCUGAUUAGCUUGUUGGCGGGGUAACGGCCCACCAAGGCGACGAUCAGUAGGGGUUCUGAGAGGAAGGUCCCCCACAUUGGAACUGAGACACGGUCCAAACUCCUACGGGAGGCAGCAGUGAGGAAUAGUGGUCAAUGGGCGAGAGCCUGAACCAGCCAAGUAGCGUGCAGGAUGACGGCCCUAUGGGUUGUAAACUGCUUUUAUGCGGGGAUAAAGUGAGGGACGUGUCCUUCAUUGCAGGUACCGCAUGAAUAAGAACCGGCUAAUUCCGUG
rnacentral:rRNA from 1 species